rnacentral:rRNA from 1 species
CGAGCGGACAGAUGGGAGCUUGCUCCCUGAUGUCAGCGGCGGACGGGUGAGUAACACGUGGGUAACCUGCCUGUAAGACUGGGAUAACUCCGGGAAACCGGGGCUAAUACCGGAUGCUUGAUUGAACCGCAUGGUUCAAUUAUAAAAGGUGGCUUUUAGCUACCACUUACAAAUGGACCCGCGGCGCAUUACCUAGUUGGUGAGGUAACGGCUCACCAAGGCAACGAUGCGUAUCCAACCUGAAAGGGUGAUCGGCCACACUGGAACUGAAACACGGCCCAAACUCCUACGGGAGGCAGCAUUAGGGAAUCUUCCGCAAUGGACAAAAGUCUGACGGAGCAACGCCCCGUGAGUGAUGAAGGUUUUCGGAUCGUAAAACUCUGUUGUUAGG